GGUUGGUGACCAACAAGUCAUCACCAACAAUCUGAACACUGUCUCCACACUCGGUGGUCAUCUUGGCAUAGUGUUCCCAGUCAUCUUGGUCAAAUGGGUCCUCAAUGGACACGAUUGGGUACUCAGCAACGAAGGACUUGUAUAGGUCCUUGAGUGCAUCUCCAGAAAUCUUCUGAGAACCAUUGUUGUUCUGCAGAGAAACAAACAGAGGAAGAUCUUAUAAGUUAGGAAUGAUUGCGUUUUAUCCUAAGGAGGAUGAAAAUAAUAAGGAAAUAAAAUUUAACCUCUUCUUUGAAGUUCAAGUCAUAGGUCUUGUCUGAUGAGUAGAACUCGGAAGCGGCAACAUCCAUUCCAAUGACGACCUUGCCAGUGUAUCCAGCCUUCUCAAUAGCAGUCUUGAGCAAUUCAAGACCUUCCUUGUUCUCCUGAAUGUUUGGUGCAAAGCCACCUUCAUCA
rnacentral:lncRNA from 1 species